GGUUCUAUGGUGUAACGGUUGGCACUCCAGACUUUGAAUCUGGCGAUCUGGGUUCAAAACCCGGUAGAACCU
rnacentral:tRNA from 1 species